GGGGGCGUAGCUCAGCUGGGAGAGCAUCGCGUUCGCAAUGCGAAGGUCGGGAGUUCGAUUCUCCUCGUCUCCACCA
rnacentral:tRNA from 1 species